GGCUCAGAUUGAACGCUGGCGGCAUGCUUUACACAUNCAANUNGAACGGCAGCACGGGCUUCGNCCUGGUGGGGAGUGGCGAACGGGUGAGUAAUGCNUCGGAACGUGCCCAUGUCGNGGGGGAUAACGUAGCGAAAGCUACGCUAAUACCNCAUACGCCCUGAGGGGGAAAACCGGGGGAUUUUUCGGACCCUCGCGCGAUGGGAGCGGCCGAUGUCGGUUUAGUUAGUAGGGGAGGUAAAGCUUNCCUAGGNNGAGGUUCGUAAGGGGUUNGAGGACGCUUUUUUACCCCCCCUGGGGAUGGAGACACGCCCCAGACUCCUACGGGAGCCAGCAGUGGGGAAUUUUNGACANGGGGGGCANCCCUGAUCCACCCAUGCCGCGUGAGGAAAGAAGGCCUUCGGGUUGUAAAGCUCUUUCGGCCGGGAAGAAAUCGGCGACUCUAACAUAGUCGCUGGAUGACGGUAC
rnacentral:rRNA from 1 species